UUUACCAACAUAUAAAUGGGUGGCUGGUACAUGAGUCUAGAGGGACCCCAGAUGUUUACUCAGAGUGUGCUUGCCAGACGUUGAGUUUGAUCAAACAUGCUUGGCCAGUCACGUUGGUCCAACCCCAUUUCAAGUCUCUGCCAUUUCAUUGAGCAUUCAGUAUUGUUCGUUUGAACUCUUACUAACUGGUCGACAUCUAUAUUCUACAUCGUAUACUACUGUUAAAUACUGAGCCUGAGGAAAUAUUAUUUGUGAGGUGAAGGCUGCCUUUGUGUGUGUGAUUGGAUACUGAUCAUUAUUGGGGAAUUCCCCUGUGACCAGUGAAAAGGGGCGAAUGAUUGAGGCAGGGAUUUAUCAAGGCUUGGCAUCGAUCAUUCUAUAUUAAAAGAAAUCUCUUGAAGGAAGCAGUCAUCUCAUUUGGUCAUCAAGCUCUCAUCCAGCCUCAGGCAAUCUACAGGGUUGUGAUAAGGUGUCUUGGAUCAAGCUCCAGAGAUAUAUCCCUUACCAAGAAGGAACUGAAAUUGGAGAAUCCUCCCCCAGAACUUUAUGAGAAAGCCAGGUUUAUUAUUUGAGUCCAACUCCCUUCAACAUCAUUUCUUUCUUCUAGUGGUGGAUGUACACAAGCUAGUCUGCAAUUUCAGACUGUGAACUUGAACUUAAGGUACUUGUCAUGUUCCUCAUUAACUUUCAACAGUGAAUUAAAUCUGAAUGAAAUUGUUAGGCUUUUCUGUGUUUACAUGACAUAACUUCAGAUUUAAUAGUGUACUGUAUUGCUGCAAAUGUAUAACUGUAUUAACUGUAUUUUAAACAUUAAUCUUUAAAUCAAUUAAAAUCAUUUAAAACAUCUCGUCCACAUAAUCUUCAAACUUCAUGUGACAGGGUCAUGGGUCUGUCACUUCAGACUAAAUUUAAGGAAAGGAGCGAGAGGCACGCUUAGCGCUACCCCUCUUCAUAGAAAUCGUGGGAACAGGAUGAAUGGAAGAGGGGCCAAGAAGUGAUGAACUUGGAAUUCCCUUGUAAUAGAAGAAGCUGUCCCCACUCAAAAAUUUUCAGUCCACCUUGAGUAAACCCUAUAAUGAUAAUUUUGAUGCUCAGUUCAUUCACUUUUGUUAUGCGAAAAAUCUUGUAUCAUCAAUGUGUUAUGCAUCAGAUAAACUGGUAGACUUGUGGUAGCCAGUAGAAUUUGGGUGUUAAUUAGUGGUGAUAGAUGCUGUUCUUUGAAGGACAAAGGAUGCUGAUGAGUUCCAUUCGCUCUACUGUGUCAUGUUGUAAGUAGAACCAUUAUCAUUCAAUGUACAUGUUCUAGUUGUCAUGUACAGGUCAUAGGGGUCUUCUGCAGGGUUCAAGUGAUAAACUUACAGGCCAGAAUGUUACAUGAUUGAUCAUGGCAUGCGUUUGAUAUGUGCGGAAGUCAAGCAACCGCAGUAGAUUACUUCUUCUAUUGAUAUGAUCUAGUAACUGAGUAGAAGUACCAUCCAGUAUGGAUAUUGGGCUGUGUCUGUAUACGGCCUGUUGCAAAAAGAACAUUGCUAGUACGGUAAUCACCAAGUGUAUCUUGGUAGCGAUGUGUACCUUCAUACCAGUUAUUUAU